GUUUUCUUCUUCGUCCCAAACUCCCGAGAAACUCCACCUCCACCUCGCCGCAAACUACCACCAUCACCACCGCCGCAAACAUCAGUUUUUGAAACACCACCACUAUCUUCACCUGCAGCUCUCAAUCGACUGAAACACCACCACUACUACCAAUUUCGUCUUUUGUGCCUUCUACAAAUCACCCGUACUUUCUCAAUCUAAAUCUCCGUUCAUCUUCACCAAUUUCCACUCUAAAUUUGAAUAUUUUGUACUCACUUUCGAAUUUAGAGUACAGGUUUUUGAUUUGAUUGAAUAAUUCAAUCAUCAUCUAACCUGUAACCCUAAAUACGAAAUUGGGUGAAUUGUUUCAAUUACUUUUAAUUGAUGGAAUUUCUUUUGAAUGAAUCGAUUCAAUGAUUUACAGAGAAAUAACCACUCAUUUGAUGUAAUUGAUUGAAUUACUUUUAAGUUGUGAGAGAAUUAGGGUUUUUGCAAACUUUUGAUCAAUCGAAGAACAAUUUGAGAUAUUUCUGCUACCAAAAUAGUUUUUGAGCAAUUGAUACCCUAGGAGGCUUUUAUCUGAUGUGGAAUAUGUUAAGCAUAGAGCUCCUAUAGUGGGAUCUGCUCCACUAAGAAUCUGACUUAUAUGAUAUGUAAUGGCACUCUCUUCUGUUUGUUUACGGAUCACUGCCAGCACAUGGAGGCAUAUUUACUUGGAUGAUGCUGAUGCCAAUUUCGUACCAGGACCAGUGGCAUCUCGCUGUUGCGGAUUGCUAGGAUAUUCAUUGUUUUCAUCUCCGUUCUCCAGUUCUGUUGGUUUUUCCUCAUGGAAAUAUUUUGAAUUCAUUAGAUAGUACCGUAAUUUGGAUGAUAGAUUCUCGCGAUGAAAUCAGAUUUUUAUCUUAUUAAAACUAAAUGAAGUCAUAUAUAUUUCUUUUAAUUGUAGGCACUCUCUUCUGGUUGUUUACGGAUCACUGCCAGCACAUGGAGGCAUAUUUUACCGGGAUGACGCUGAUGCCAAUUUUGAUGCAAUCACGUAGUGGUGUCGUUUCUUCAGGUUCUUCGACCGGCCCUCGCACCGUGGCAACAGUUGUACUAGUUUUAAAAUAUUAUUCGUGCGAGCAAAGUUCUACUUGUUCAUUCAAGCAAAAUCGAGAGUUUCAGUCAAGAUUAAACUCUUCUGAAAAUCUAAAAUAUUGCUCGAACGCGCACCGGAAAAUAUCAAAAUUCUCAAAAUUGAGUCACGAGAAGUAUGGUGACACAUGCAUGUUACCUUGACAGACCAAGGUCGGCCUUUUGGCUUGCAAAAGCCGGUCUCACACCUGUUAUGAUUUCUGACCUAAUUGAUCAUAUUGGGUUCAAACUCUUUCCAAACAACUUGGAAUUUGAUCGACCAUCAGUUGGUCCCACGACCACCAAGGGCCAGUCUCGUACCCCUUGGUCGGUCCUCAU